rnacentral:rRNA from 1 species
CCCUACGGGGSGCAYCAGGCGCGAAAACUUUACAAUGCGGGAAACCGUGAUAAGGGAACUCUGAGUGCCCGUUAAAUCGGGCUGUCCAUCAGUUUAAAAAACUGGUGAAGAAAGGGCCGGGCAAGACCGGUGCCAGCCGCCGCGGUAAUACCGGCGGCUCGAGUGGUGGCCACUAUUACUGGGCUUAAAGCGUUCGUAGCUGGUUUGUUAAGUCUCUGGGGAAAUCUUCCGGCUUAACCGGAAGGCGUCUCAGGGAUACUGGCAGACUAGGGACCGGAAGAGGUGAGAGGUACUCCAGGGGUAGGAGUGAAAUCCUGUAAUCCUUGGGGGACCACCUGUGGCGAAGGCGUCUCACCAGGACGGCUCCGACAGUGAGGGACGAAAGCUGGGGGAGCAAACCGGAUUAGAUACCCGGGUAGUCCCAGCCGUAAACGAUGUGCGUUAGGUGUAUCGGUGACCACGAGUCACCG